rnacentral:rRNA from 1 species
CCUACGGGUGACAGCAGUCGAGAAUCAUUCACAAUGGGGGAAACCCUGAUGGUGCGACGCCGCGUGGGGGAAUGAAGGUCUUCGGAUUGUAAACCCCUGUCAUGUGGGAGCAAAUUAAAAAGAUAGUACCACAAGAGGAAGAGACGGCUAACUCUGUGCCAGCAGCCGCGGUAAUACAGGGGUCUCAAGCGUUGUUCGGAAACACUGGGCGUAAGGCGUGCGUAGGCUGUUUCGUAGUAGUGUGUGAAAGGCGCGGGCUCCACCCGCGGACGGCACAUGAUACUGCGAGACUAGAGUAAUGGAGGGGGAACCGGAAUUCUCGGUGUAGCAGUGAAAUGCGUAGAUAUCGAGAGGAACACUCGUGGCGAAGGCGGGUUCCUGGACAUUAACUGACGCUGAGGCACGAAGGCCAGGGUAGCGAAAGGGAUUAGAUACCCCAGUAGUC